rnacentral:rRNA from 1 species
GACGAACGCUGGCGGCGUGCUUAACACAUGCAAGUCGAACGAAGUGGCGAACGGGUGAGUAACGCGUAAUCAACCUGCCCUUCAGAGGGGGACAACAGUUGGAAACGACUGCUAAUACCGCAUACUGAAGGAGGGGCUUGCGUCUGAUUAGCUAGUUGGAGGGGUAACGGCCCACCAAGGCGAGGAUUAGUAGCCGAUCGGAGAGAAUGAACGGCAACAUUGGGACUGAGACAGGGCUCAGACGCAUACGGGAGGAAGCAGUGGGGAAUCUUCCGCAAUGGAAGAAAGUGUGACGGAGCAACGCCGCGUGAGUGAUGACGGCCGUCGGGUUGUAAAGCUCUGUUAAUCGGGACGCGGGACCGGAAUAGAAAGCCACUGCUAACGACGUGCCAGCAGCCGCGGUAAUUC